AAUCAACGCUGGCGGCGUGCCUCAGACAUGCAAGUCGAACGCGAAAGUCCCCUUCGGGGGACAAGUAGAGUGGCGCACGGGUGAGUAACACGUAGGUAAUCUACCUUCGGAUGGGGAAUAACAACCGGAAACGGUUGCUAAUACCGCAUAAUGCAGCGGCACCUAAUGGUGACAGUUGUUAAAGCGGGGGAUCGAAAGACCUCGCGUCUGAAGAGGAGCCUGCGGCGGAUUAGCAGUUGGUAAGGUAAUGGCUUACCAAGGCGACGAUCCGUAGCCGGCCUGAGAGGGCGGUCGGCCACACUGACACUGACAUACGGGUCAGACUCCUACGGGAGGCAGCAGUCGGGAAUUUUGGGCAAUGGGCGAAAGCCUGACCCAGCAACGCCGCGUGAAGGAUGAAAUCCCUCGGGAUGUAAAC
rnacentral:rRNA from 1 species